UUUCCACAAUGAUUUAACUUUAUAUAUGUAAAAGCUUAAUUAGUUCCUUCUUAUUGCCACAUCCCAACAUAUGCAUCUUAUAAGCAUUAACCAAUAAAACAAAACAAGUAAAACGAACUUACAUAUCACCCAACUACAAGCAAGUCCAAGCCAAAGCCAUAAAUCACAUCUAUACUAACCUACUUUUCACCAAUACUUCUAUAAACAUGCAUACUUCUGUAAACUAUGUCAAAAAAAAAUGUAUACUCCUAUAAACAACUAAUCAAAAUAACCUGAUUAGAACCUGCACAGCCUCUUAUGCAUCCUGCACAGAAAAAUGUAACCAUAAAUAAUUAAUGUCAUUUUCAACAGCCUCAAAAAAAUUAUAGGGUUCCAACUCUUACCAAGCAAUUCAUUGACCACUAAAGCAUUUUGCUCAAACAUUACAGGUGAAAUCUAAUAUCCCCAGAUCCACCAUUAUUACUUGGGCAUAGGUUUUGUGAAAUAUGAAGAUUGAAGAAAAGUAAAUAAAACUGCUAUCAUUCAUUCUGCCAAUUAGUAAGUCUUCAUAUUAGUAAGAACAUGGGGAGACACACACACGGGUGGGUUCCAACUUCCAACUAUAAGCUCAACUCAAACGACUUGUUGAGUUGAGAGGAGAGUGCCGACCCCUUCUUUUACAUUUUUUAAUUAAUUAAUGCAAAUUUCAGUUUAACUUUAAUUCUUUUUUUCGACUAAAUCUUUAUUUUAAUUUUAACUUGAUCUUAUCUUUUUUGGUAAGUAGUAGUAUAGUAAAUGACUAGAUUCACACACGUGUUAAUUAUAGAAAAGUAAAUAAAACUGCUAUCAUUCAUUCUGCCGAUUAGUAAUAUACCAUAAAAUCUAUUUUUAUAACAAUUUGAUGCUAUAAUAAUACUUUCCUACAACAUGGUUUUGCUGAGAAAACAGGUUAUGGACUUAUUAUUAGCUAAUUAGAUACAAUAUUCAGAUUAAAAAGAUAUAGUUUAGUAUUUACUGCAUUGAGCUUAUAUAUAACUUGUUAUUUUAACUGUGACAUUAGCUAGGUUACAUAUAUUUUGGAAUAACGUGCAGUACACAGACGUGACAUACAAGAUAGUGACUAAAGGCAUGACAAUAAAUGUAAAAAGUUUGGAAGAUGUUUUACCUUAGAGGAGAGAAUCAAAAGAGGCUUAAAGUGUGAGGAAGAAGACGAGAGGCGGUGACGGGCGAUGCAGCGUUGUGCAAAGUGAAUAGCCAAACAAGAUUCCACAUAACAAAGCAAAAAUAGCCAAAAUUUAAAUACAGUUUUAAUGUAUAUAUAUAUAUAUAUAUAUAUAUAUAAUGCUAUCAGCAUGAAAGAAGGCAAAAAUCAUUUAUAAUCUCAUAACCAAAUAUAGAAAGUGGCAGAGGACAUAGAUUCACCGACUUUCAUUUGAUUCAUACAUAGCUCUAAGAAUAAAUAGCUCAAAAGAUAUAAUAUAGUUAAUUGAGAUUGAAGAUACCAAUGUGUUCUGUUACUUUGUUCUUUACUUCUUUUCCAGCAAACCUGUCUCACACAAAUGAGAACCUGAAUAUGGAUAAAUUGUAAUAAAAUUAAGUAUCUGAGAACUCACAAGUUAGAAGAUACCAAUGUUUUCUGUCACUUUGUUUUUUUCCAGCAAACAUAUCUCAGACAAGUUAUAUUAUAUGAGAACCUGAAUAUGGAUAAAUUGCAACAAAAAUAACUACAUGAGAACGCACAAGUUAAUUGAAUGUAGAGUAGAGAUAGUGGCAAUAAAAUUAGACAUAAAGAUUUACAAUCACACUUAUAUUUUAAUAGUUUUAAAGCUUAGCAAUUGAGGUUCUACACAUUAGAAUUACUAACACGUUGUAAAGAAAAUUGUGUGUUAAAAAUGAGGUAUACAUUAACCUUCCAUCAAAACUGAUAGAACAUAUAUCAGUUCUAAAAAAAAAGAGCCUAUUUAUGAACUAUACAUUGCUACUUAAAAUGCCUAAUAGUAUUAGUACUACAUGAUAAGUACGUAACUUGAACAAGGAGAACAAGAAAGCAUGCAUAAGACAUGCCUUAUAAGGAGAACAAGAAACAAAGGUUACCAACAGGCGAACCCACAAUAUAGAAGGAAACAAAAAGGCACAAAGAGUGAUAGAAGGAAAUAAUGAUGAGGUGGCAUGAGUGCAUGAAGAGCAUGAGGACUCACUCCAAGCUUUUCUUCCAUUCUACUUCAUUAUUAUUACUGUUUCAUUCAUUUUCUUAAUUGGUCCGACCUACCGGAUCCGACGAGAGCCGGAUCCGACGAGAGCCAGUGAUGGAGGAUGUUUGGACUAUGAAGAAUCAAUUACCGGGUUUCAUGGGAACCGAUCCUGUUGGCUGGAUCGCUGUGGCCGAAUGGUUCUUUGAGAAGAAUGAAGUCCCUUGUCGCGAUAAGCUUCGGUGGGCUUUUAUGAGCAUGGAGGAUGAACAAGCGAGGAUGUGGUUAUAUUAUUGGUGUGAAGAGAACCCCGAUGCAGAUUGGAAAACGUUUUCCAUGGCUAUGAUGAGACAAUCUGGAGCACAGGUGGAGUACUUGACAGAAAAACACGUUGAGCCAAAAUUGAAGGUGAUCGAGGCAUUCUCCGAUGACCGAGAAGAAGUUCGCAUCAAAGAAACUGAUCGUAAUCCCAAUGGCGGAAAGGUUGGAAACNNNNNNNNNNNAAGGUUGGAAACAACUGAGACACAAAGAAGUGGGAAGGAAGGAGCGAAUGAUGAAUGAUUCUGUGAGCGUGAUGAAGAUGAAAGAGAAACAGGGGAAAACGGUAGAGGGGAAAGAAAUCUAUCAUACAAUACAAUCAUGUGUGAAGGAAUCGGUGCUAGGUCCUUGAAGAUUCUGACCAAUCUCUCACCGUCGUCAGAAUCGAUAGAUCGGAAAGAGCACGCAGAAGAAAAUGAGAUGCAGAGCGUGGAAGAAAUAGUUAUGCAGGAACUUACGAAGUCGCCGGACUGUGGUCAACCUGCGAUGGCACUAAUCAACAGUUAGCGAACAUUGAACAGUUUGUGACACUUGGUGAUGAGUCGCGAAAGGAAACUGCAGGGUUGAUGUUCAGCGAAUCACCAUGGGAGCUAUG
rnacentral:lncRNA from 1 species